AGGGACAAUUAACUUUAACGGUCA
rnacentral:miRNA from 1 species